rnacentral:tRNA from 1 species
AUAUUUUAAAGUAAACUACUUCCGUGAUAUCUUCAAUAUCAAGCUCUACAUAAGCUAUUAAAAUA